rnacentral:rRNA from 1 species
AUUGAACGCUGGCGGCACGCUUAACACAUGCAAGUCGAACGGCAGCGGGGGGAGCUUGCUCCCUGCCGGCGAGUGGCGAACGGGUGAGUAACGCGUAGGGAUCUGCCUGUUAGAGGGGGAUAAGCCGUGGAAACGCGGUCUAAUACCGCAUACGCUCUAAGGAGGAAAGUAUGGGACCGAAAGGCCAUACGCUAACAGAUGAACCUGCGUUAGAUUAGCUAGUUGGUAGGGUAAAGGCCUACCAAGACGACGAUCUAUAGCUGGUCUGAGAGGAUGACCAGCCACACUGGAACUGAGAUACGGACCAGACUCCUACGGGAGGCAGCAGUGGGGAAUAUUGGACAAUGGGGGCAACCCUGAUCCAGCGAUGCCGCGUGUGUGAAGAAGGCCUGAGGGUUGUAAAGCACUUUAGUUGGGGAGGAAAGCCUGAGGAUGAAUAAGCCUUAGGGGAGACGUUACCCAAAGAAUAAGCACCGGCUAACUCUGUGCCAGCAGCCGCAGUAA